CUGAGAGUCACAGUCCGGGCUCCUCCACAAAUCAUGGAGUCAACCAGGAUGAAACUCAUGUGUACGACUCUCUUCAACAUGGUACUGCUGACGUCUAUGAAUCAGUCACACAAGUGAAAAACAGAAAUGGUACAGUAUAUGUGCUGGAAAGCACAGAGCAGUUAGAGAUGAAACUUGUUUUUGAUUUAAUGAAACUAAUUUCAUGUGAAAUGUUUUUACAAUCCUGUAAAUAAAAAUAUGAACAUUUCAGGUUCAGAUGAAUACGAUGACA
ensembl:lncRNA